rnacentral:misc_RNA from 1 species
UCAAGGCUAUAAGUACUGCCCUCCAAUAAAUCCCUUUUACAUCCACGGGACAAACCAGCCUUUCAAAUGUAUACAAACAUAGGCCGGUCUAGCAAUCAUAAAGUAAUAUUGGAGACUCAUGUGUUUAGCUACAAAGAUAUGGUUGAGUCAACAACUUGAACAGAACUCGCAAGCAAAGUGGGCACCACAGGAGUGCAGGUGAGUACAUGUGGAUAGCCUUUAUCAGUCGGUGUGCUAAUAGAAGUUGAAGCAAUGGCUCCAAAUGAUAAAUUCUUCUACUUCUGCUACGCUAGCAAUCUAUUGAAGUCGAGGUUUCAUCUUUAUGUGCCAUCAGCCGAGUUUGUAAGCCCAGCCAAACUUGAGGGUUAUAGAUUGAAUUUCCGCAGCUACCCUGGAUGGACCCUCGAAACAAGUCAAUGGAGAGGGUCAUUAUGUUCCAUUGAAGAGGAUCAACAGGCUCAUGUAUGGGGAGCAAUAUGGAGUCUGGAUAAAUCAGAUGUCCAAGGACUGUAUCCGUAAGGAUAAAGAUAUAUACUGGGAUGCUACCCUAUCUCUCACUUUCAUAACCACCCCCACCUUCUACUUCUCUCGAUCUGUUCUUUGCCUUUCUAUUUAUCUUUCUUUACAUGCAUGAUCUUCUUCUGUUCUCCUUUACACUUCUCCACCAGACUGCACUUUCUUUCUACAACUCUGGGAAC